rfam:Felis catus isolate Cinnamon breed Abyssinian chromosome D1, whole genome shotgun sequence.
GCCUGGGUCGCUCAGUCGGUUAAGCGUCUGACUUUGGCUCAGGUCACGAUCUCACCGUUCGUGAGUUCGAGCCUCGCGUCGGGCU